UGGGUGGUAUUCUCGAAAGCGGCCUAAGUUAAAUCAGUGGCCUAAACCUGGUUUAAACCAUGGACUAUCUUUUUUGCUAUUCUCGAAGGUGGCCUAAAGAUAAGCCAGGCUUAAAUACGUCAUAGUUCGGCCUAACUUUAGGCGGCUCAGAGGGCAGGUUUAAAUACGUCAUAGUUCGGCCUAACUUCGCGUGACGUCACUUUUUAGUUAAAUCGACUGUCCGCGGAGAGUGAACGGUUCUUUUCAAUUGAUGCAUGGGGAUGAAAAAAGAAGGCCUCUCCCAAGCUAUGGUGUUCUUGUGAAGUCCAUCUCAAUAGCCAUUGCCAGGAGAUGGGAGCAAUACAUCUCAAUUCCUUCAACAAGAGAGGCAGUCCUGCAGAGUGCAGACCCAACAUGAAUGUUAUAAUUACUGCCAUUUCCCUGGCGUUAAUAUGGUGCACCCACAUAGGCAUCUCCAAGCCAGUUGGCCCAACACCAGUUAUUUCCUGAACAGGAAAAAUAGAUACUCCAUUUUUCUUGGAAAGUCUGCUGGAUGAUGUUUUUCUUCAGUAAAAUAAAUGAAGGCAAAUUCCCCGAUAACUGAGACAAAUUCAGAGAGAGGAAGGAGAACUACUGAGCUGCUGAAUUUCUGACAGACAUACUUGCAAGGACUAUGAAGUUCUACUUAGCCUCUUCAAUGAACCAGACUCCAUCUGCUGUAACUGUGACUGCAUGGGGAUCAAUACCUUUGUAUUAUAAUCCUCAUAACAUGAAGAUAUGGUAACAAACAAGCAACCAUUGAUAAAAAGCCUGAUAUGUCCUUGUUGUGUGUGUGUGAACCACAAAGCAACCAUCACUCAUAAGGAUGUUUUUAUGUACAUCAGAUGUUCAUUGUUUCACUGGAAAAAUUGUGAUUUUGAAUCAUUUAAGAAAUCAUGUUUUAUAAUGUGUUUAUAAUAUAGUGCAAGUCAUGAUAUAACAGAUUCCCUGCAAAAGAAACACGGCUCAAAAGUAGACUAUGCUUUGUUUAAAAAAAAUGGGAGAAGGUAAUGUAACAAAUACAUAACAUUUAAUUCUAAUAGUUUCAAGUAGCAGAUUAUGAGGCUAUUGGAGCUUAAUAUUUGAUUUUGACAUUCAAUUUUAUAAUCGUAUUCAUCGUGAAUUACAAUCUUUUCUGUUUU